GCGGCCGUGGCGGAAUGGCAGACGCGCAACACUUAGGAUGUUGUGGACGGAAGUCCAUGUGGGUUCGAAUCCCACCGGCCGUACCA
rnacentral:tRNA from 2 species